rnacentral:rRNA from 1 species
AUUGAACGCUAGCGGGAUGCUUAACACAUGCAAGUCGAGCGAGUGGCGGACGGGUGAGUAAUAUAUGGGAACCUGCCCAGUAGAGGGGGAUAACUACUGGAAAGGGUGGCUAAUACCGCAUACUAUCGGAUGAACCCAUAUCGGAUUAGCUAGUUGGUGGGGUAAAGGCUCACCAAGGCAACGAUCCCUAGCUGGUUUGAGAGGAUGACCAGCCACACUGGGACUGAGACACGGCCCAGACUCCUACGGGAGGCAGCAGUGGGGAAUAUUGGACAAUGGGGGCAACCCUGAUCCAGCCAUGCCGCGUGUAUGAAGAAGGCCUUCGGGUUGUAAAGUACUUUUGGCGGGGAAGCGUUACCCGCAGAAGAAGCACCGGCUAACUCCGUGCCAGCAGCCGCGGUAAUUC